UGACGUAGGUAGCAGUAGAGUUUGAUCCUGGCUAGCAAGGUAGCAUGUAUAGUUUGAUCCUGAGUCACGCGUGAGUAACCUGCCCUUAACUCUGGGAUAAGCCUGGGAAACUGGGUCUAAUACCGGAUAGGAGCGCCGACCGCAUGGUGGGUGUUGGAAAGAUUUAUCGGUUUUGGAUGGACUCGCGGCCUAUCAGCUUGUUGGUGAGGUAAUGGCUCACCAAGGCGACGACGGGUAGCCGGCCUGAGAGGGUGACCGGCCACACUGGGACUGAGACACGGCCCAGACUCCUACGGGAGGCAGCAGUGGGGAAUAUUGCACAAUGGGCGCAAGCCUGAUGCAGCGACGCCGCGUGAGGGAUGACGGCCUUCGGGUUGUAAACCUCUUUCAGUAGGGAAGAAGCGAAAGUGACGGUACCUGCAGAAGAAGCACCGGCUAACUACGUGCCAGCAGCCGCGGUAAUACGUAGGGUGCGAGCGUUAUCCGGAAUUAUUGGGCGUAAAGAGCUCGUAGGCGGUUUGUCGCGUCUGUCGUGAAAGUCCGGGGCUUAACCCCGGAUCUGCGGUGGGUACGGGCAGACUAGAGUGCAGUAGGGGAGACUGGAAUUCCUGGUGUAGCGGUGGAAUGCGCAGAUAUCAGGAGGAACACCGAUGGCGAAGGCAGGUCUCUGGGCUGUAACUGACGCUGAGGAGCGAAAGCAUGGGGAGCGAACAGGAUUAGAUACCCUGGUAGUCCAUGCCGUAAACGUUGGGCACUAGGUGUGGGGACCAUUCCACGGGUUUCCGCGCCGCAGCUAACGCAUUAAGUGCCCCGCCUGGGGAGUACGGCCGCAAGGCUAAAACUCAAAGGAAUUGACGGGGGCCCGCACAAGCGGCGGAGCAUGCGGAUUAAUUCGAUGCAACGCGAAGACCUUACCAAGGCUUGACAUGUUCUCGAUCGCCGUAGAAGAAUACGGUUUCCUCCUUUUGGAGCCGGUUCACAGGUGGUGCCAUGGAUGGUCGUCAGCUCGUGUCGUGAGAUUGUUGGGAUUAAGUUCCCGCACCGAGCGGCAAUCCUUCGUUCAUGUUGCCAGCCACGUAAUUGGUGGGGACCUCAUGGGAAACUUACGGGGUCCAACUCCCGAGCAUGGUGAGGACGACGUCUAAUCAUCAUGCCCCUAUGUCGUGGGCUUCACCGCCACAUGUGCAUA
rnacentral:rRNA from 1 species